UACGUAGGGUGCAAGCGUUAAUCGGAAUUACUGGGCGUAAAGCGUGCGCAGGCGGUUUUGUAAGUUUGUCGUGAAAUCCCCGGGCUUAACCUGGGAAUUGCGAUGAAGACUGCAAGGCUAGAAUCUGGCAGAGGGGGGUAGAAUUCCACGUGUAGCAGUGAAAUGCGUAGAGAUGUGGAGGAACACCGAUGGCGAAGGCAGCCCCCUGGGUCAAGAUUGACGCUCAUGCACGAAAGCGUGGGUAGCAAACAGG
rnacentral:rRNA from 1 species